rnacentral:rRNA from 1 species
UACAGAGGUCCCAAGCGUUGUUCGGAUUUACUGGGCGUAAAGGGCGCGUAGGCGGCUGUACAAGUCAAAGGUGAAAUCCCUCGGCUCAACUGAGGAACUGCCUUUGAAACUGUACGGCUUGAGGCCGGGAGGGGGUAGCGGAAUUCCCAAUGUAGCGGUGAAAUGCGUAGAUAUUGGGAGGAACACCAGUGGCGAAGGCGGCUACCUGGACCGGUUCUGACGCUGAGGCGCGAGAGCGUGGGUAGCAAACAGG